rnacentral:rRNA from 1 species
UACGGAGGAGGCAAGCGUUAUCCGGAAUUAUUGGGCGUAAAGCGUCCGCAGGUGGCACUUCAAGUCUGUCGUCAAAGACUGGGGCUUAACCCCGGAAAGGCGGUGGAAACUGAAGCGCUAGAGUGCGGUAGGGGUAGAGGGAAUUCCCGGUGUAGCGGUGAAAUGCGCAGAGAUCGGGAAGAACAUCGGUGGCGAAAGCGCUCUACUGGACCGCAACUGACACUCAGGGACGAAAGCUAGGGGAGCGAAUGGG